AGCUAUGAAAACUGUACUUCAAUGGUUAAGAAUUGAAGCUGUCGUGUAUCAUUCAAAAUUUGCAUAUUCUAAAUAAAAAAAAAAAUCAUAAAAACGUUACAUAUGUGAAUUCGGCAAAUUACCAAGCGUCUAUUACAACGAUAAAAAUGAGACAAUAUCCACUAUUGAUAUUUCUGGUGGUUUUGUUAUUUGACGAGUACCACAUUAAAGGGGUUCUGGGGCAAACUACGUA